rnacentral:lncRNA from 1 species
AUCUGGGCCAAGUUCAGGGCUGGUGCUCUCGUUCAGAUAGAUUUAGCUGGUGGUGCAGAGAUCCGUGAGCUUGCUUUUACAGGACUUUAAUGAUAUAUAAAAGCAGCACGAGGUGCUCCUGACUGUGGAUUAAUUUGGAGAUGACUUUCUCUGUUGAAGAGUAGCAAGACUCUCGCGAGUUCUUAAAAAUGCACUUGUUUGGUAUGAGAAUGAAAAGCAGUGGCUGAAGAACCAAUCUUCAAUGGGCAAGCCUUCUCUGUGUCUGUUCUAACACGUGCCAUUUGGGAUCCCUUGGAAUCUUCAUGUACAGAACUGGUUGCUGCCUCGUUGAGUCGGUGGGGACAGAAUAGCUCCUGGUUGACAGCAUGGGUUGUGCAGAAGGACGGAUCCUGCAGACAUCAAUAUCUGGCUUUGAGUGGCACAAAGAAAUAAAGGAAUGUGGAUUCAGACCUCACUGGGAUGCUUGGCAAUUCUAAUUCUACCCCAGACUGCAAAUGGACACACAACUGUUGUGACUUUUGUUGAAGAGGAGAAGGAUGGUGAAGGUCUCUUUAGUCAAUAAUCUCUUUGCUGAAAUUGCUUCGGGCAGCACAGAAGCUGGAUUCAGAAGCACACAGGUCUGGGGAUGCAGGCUUCGGCCAGCCUGAUGCAAGGAAAGACUGCCAUCUCGUGGUCAGCUCAAUCCUGGCACCUUGGUGAGGGACCAGGCUGCAGAAAACCAGGCUUGGGGAGGAAACGGUGCUGCAAACUGGAUUUCUGCCGGACAGUGUGGAUGCCCUUAGAAAACACCCAGAAAAGAGCUGAGUGCCCCCCAAGACUUGCCCUGAAUUCUUUCAUGUGCAAUAUCCGAAAACCCUCUCUUGGGGCCUGGAUCAGGACCCCUUUCCUAUAACAUCUUUCUGGCGACAACAAAGGGACAAUGGUGUGGAAUCCCCCUUCCCAAAUGCUACUUUUAGAUAUCACCUUUUGUCGGAACUUGGAGUUGGUAAUGACCUUCACCAUACCACCACUCUGGGACUGAGCUUCUCUCUACCCUGAUGCAAGAGACCCUAAUAGGCAGGAAUAUGACCACCCCUAUUCAGCCUGAAGAAGUUACAGAAGUUCUGAAACCCUUAGAAAUGAGGGUCUUCUUGUAAAGGGAGUGGGGAGAUAUAUCAGAGGCAUUUGAACCAGAGCAACUCCAUCUUGAGUGAGGGCUAGGAAAAUGAGGCUAGGACUUGCUGGGCUGCAUUCUCAGAAAGUCAGUCAUUCCUAGCCUCUAGAUGUUUACGGUUAAGGGAACAAAUUUAUAACAUUUACUAAACACACCCAGACUUGGGAGUGUCCAGAUAUCCCAAUAUCUGGAGAACAAAGGCAUUCCUAAUUUUGCUUUAAAGACAAUAAUAUUGAUUCUUGCAAAAUAUAGUAAUUAAGAAAAUUAAUCCUUUAUCACAAACCCUUGUAGUAAAACACAUCUCCCCAUAUAUACAAGCAUUGUACCUAAGGUGGAUGCGUUCCAUCUCUUACUUUCAGGAAUGUCCUACACUAUCUAA